AGUGAACGCUGGCGGUAGGCCUAACACAUGCAAGUCGAACGGCAGCACAGUAAGAUCUUGCUCUUACCGGUGGCGAGUGGCGGACGGGUGAGGCAUACAUCGGCUUCUACUUUUUCGUGGGGGAUAACGUAGGGCAACUUACGCUAAUACCUCAUACGUCCUACGGCUUAAUGCAGGGGAUCUUCGCACCUUGCGCGUUUGUAUUAGCCGAUGUCGGAUUAGCUAGUUGGCGGGGUAAAGUCCCACCAAGGCGACGAUCCGUAGCUGGUCUGAGAGGAUGAUCAGACACACGGGAACUGAGACACGGUCGAGACCUCUACGGGAGGCAGCAGUGGAGAAUAUCGGACAAUGGGCGAAAGCCUGAUCCAGCCAUACCGCGUGGGUGAAGAAGUCCUUGAGGUUGUAAAGCUCUUUUGUGGGGAAAAAAAAGGAGCAGGUUAAUACCCAGCUGUUCAGACUGUACACAAAGAAUAAGCACCGGCUAACUGCG
rnacentral:rRNA from 1 species